UACGAAGGUGGCAAGCGUUGUUCGGAUUUACUGGGCGUACGGGGAGCGUAGGCGGUUGGAUAAGCCCUCCGUGAAAUCUCCAGGCUUAACCUGGAAAGUGCAGAGGGGACUGUUCAGCUAGAGGAUGGGAGAGGAGCGCGGAAUUCCCGGUGUAGCGGUGAAAUGCGUAGAGAUCGGGAGGAAGGCCGGUGGCGAAGGCGGCGCUCUGGAACAUUUCUGACGCUGAGGCUCGAAAGCGUGGGGAGCAAACAGG
rnacentral:rRNA from 1 species